rnacentral:pre_miRNA from 1 species
CGCCUGAAUCUUAUAUAAAGGAAAAUCUACUUGCAUUUUUCGCACCCAUUAUAUAAGAUUGAGGCUCU